GACGUAGGGGGCCAGCGUUGCUCGGAAUUACUGGGCGUAAAGGGUUCGUAGGCGGUGCGGCAAGUCGGGAGUGAAAUCUCUGGGCUUAACUCGGAGGCUGCUUCCGAAACUGCCGUGCUCGAGUGCGGGAGAGGCGAGUGGAAUUGCAGGUGUAGCGGUGAAAUGCGUAGAUAUCCGCAGGAACAUCCGAGGCGAAAGCGGCUUGCUGGAUCGCAACUGACGCUGAGGGACGAAAGCUAGGGGAGCAAACAGG
rnacentral:rRNA from 1 species